rnacentral:misc_RNA from 1 species
AAGUCGUAACAAGUUUCCGUAGGUGAACCUGCGGAAUUGUUUCUCGAACGGUUUCGGGUUGGCGUAUCACGCGGGUCUGCCCACCGCGGAACAACCUCACAAAAAAAACUACCGAUGCGCCGGAUCCUAGCGGGUUCAGUGUCGGAAACCCCGAACAACUGUUAGCAAUGGAUAUCUUGGCUCUC